UCGUCAUUUCACAAGAAUAUAUAUUGUUACAAGUACAUGUGCAAAAGAGGUGAGUAUAUGAAAUUGGCUUACACUCGCCAUAUGCUACAACAAUAUCACAUCAAUACAUCAACAUAUUAAAUCACAAUGUAGAAGAGCAGGGUCCGACUACAGACGAAAACAAGCGAUAAAAGAAUGACGUCCAUCCUUAUUAUCCCAGGCUGCCGGCCUGGAACCCAUCCUAUAUCGAAGAAGAAGAAGAAAAAGAAGAAGAAGCUCCAAAUAGAACAAUCAUCGCGCUCACGUCACAGUAUCGCUUUACCUAUACCUGCAACUGGUGUUGUAGUAAUAUGUGAGCCACAGGGACUCAGCAAUCUCAUUUCCAAAGGUAUCAAGACUAGCAAAGUUUAAUGGGUGACGUAUGGUUAAGUGGUGAGGCUGCAGCAAGACACUAAGCAUUUAUUUGAGGUGGCUAACUUACGAGUACAAGAAUAAGAGGGGGAUGAUCUACGCAUAAUCGUACAUGAAUUAGUAACGAUCAAAUGAAUGAUCCUGACCACCUACUUACGUCAAACAUAACCCCACAGUGUCCUCUGUUGAAAAAUGAGCUCACAAAAGAGAUAGUCACGGUUACACACACAUUUGGUAAGUUUUAUUUCAGUUUACUUUAGUUUAUCUAGAACCGGAUGUUAAACAAAGUUGCCAAGUUUGGCACAUAACCGCGGGCACGGCUUUCUGAAAUAUUUAAACCCUGCAGGGGUUCUCCAACUAGUCCAUCAAAAUUACCACAAGCCGCAUAGAAAGCCUAGAUCACGAAACUCGUGAUCUCCUCGGAAUCCUUAGUGGAAAACCUCAACUCUGAGAUAGACCAAAGCAUCAUUAGAAUCCCGAUGCCCAAGAUAUCUCGUAAAAGGUAAUACUAAUCUAGCAAGGCCACCGACGUGUCGGCGAGCCCCAUAGGAGCCGCGUAUCUCGUUCUGAGGACACAACAGAUAAGUGACGCAUACGGUGGCCUAAUAGAAAUCACCCAAGUUUUCCUGGGUUGGCCCCGCACAAUGCUCUAUUUUGGACCAACAAUUAUGAGGAGCACUAGCCCGGGGGUUGAUUAAUUAUCCACGCGGUCCGGAAAAUCCCUAUGCAAUUUUAUUAGGUUAUUAGGCAAAUGUAGUACCAAAGUUGGGCCUUGCUAGACAAGCUUUAAAUAAGACGAACUAUCAGGGGUCCCCAUAGCAAGCUGAUCAUGCUAGGAGCGCUCAAUUAUGAAAUAUAACACCGGUAGCCGAAACUAAGAUGACAAAGGUGGAACAAAACACCACGCUGAAAGGCCAAGCCUUCCACCUUUUACCCAGUACAUAGGUCCAUUAAUUAAUUAGCAAUUAAAAUGAUGAUAUAAAAAGGAACCCAUGUUUUCACAUGGAAGCAACUACACCUGCAACUAGCAACGCUAUAAGAAGGUUGAGCAAGCGGUAACAUAGUCAAACAGUGGUUUGCUAGGAUGUAGUAAGGUUAAAGGUUUUCAUGGCAAUGUGGAGAGGCUGACAUCUAAGUGACAGGUAGCGAGACAUAUCGAAAGAAAUGAGACAACUAGCAUGGAAUUGAUACUAAUGGUAUCUAGAGAAUUGAUCAUCUUGCAUGUGAUUCGGCUUGGAAGAAGAAUGAAUCCGUGAAGCAGAUGAAUCGACGUAGUCGAACGGAUCCUCACAUUAUGAUACGCUUGUGGAACUCUAUCGAGAAGAAGCAAACCAGAACAACAAGAAUCAACACACGAUAUUCACCACGGCACAUGCACGACAUGAUGCACAACACAUACUCCCUCCGUUCCUAAAUAUAAGUCUUUUAUGCGAUUUCAAUAGGUGUCUACAUACGGAGUAAAAUGAUUGAAUGUACACUCUAAAGUAUGUCUAUAUACAUUCGUAUGUAGUCUAUUAGUGAAAUCUCUACAAAGACUUAUAUUUAGAAACGGAGGGAGUAUGAUGCAUGAUCGAUUUAAUUAUGCAAGACAUGACAUGGCAAUUUACAACAAUCAAACACUACACAUUAAGUGAAGCACGAGUUGCAUAUUGACGAAACUCCACAUAAGAAUUAUUUAGUUCACUCCCUUUUAGGUACACGAUAAUAUUAAAAUGUUAUUAACAUGGCAAGAGGUGAAACAUGUGAUUCUACACGUCAUUCUAGUCAGCUAAAACAUAUAGCUCAUCCCCAACGGAGCUAUGGUUAACUAGCUAUGAAUUAAACCGAUUUAGCAUGGCAUCACGCAAAACGAGACAAAUAACAAGUUUAAGAGCUUUAAAUAUACAUGAGAGUUGGAAAACAUUAAUCUUCACGAAAUUCUACACAUUAUACAUAUAUAGCUUAUUUCAAUCCGAGCACGAUUUAAAAGACAUAGACGUUUUAAAAUAUGCCUAUAACCUGAAUUAGCAAAAUGAACCAAGGACCCCGUGGUUAAGCAUCUCGUUCCUACCAGUCGGGCUAUCAGGUGAUUCUGGCAAAGACGGGCUUCGAUCGCACAAGAUAUGGCACAAAGGUGGAGUUCACCUAGGGCCAAAUCGGGCUAGGUGGAGGAGGGCUUGGGCAUGCGCGGCCAGGUGGGCGCUGGAAUCGCAUGCGAGGCUGGGCGAGUAAACGGCCUCGCUCAACCGCUCCUGCUUGAACCUAAGAUGUGCAAGACAAUCAGAGGAGGCACCGCUCAGGCCAGCCACGACCUGCUGCGGGCGUAGCUGCAGGGUCCGGCGAGGGGAACCGAGGUAGCGGCACGAUGGUUUCCUGUCACACACAUAGAGGGAGAGAGAUCGAGGUGAGAGGAGACAGAGGGAGAGAGGAGGGAACGGGAGAAGGGAAGCAGGGCGCGGGGUCGACCUAGACGGGCGGAUCGGAGGCGAGGCAACCAGAUGUGGCAGGCAGAUUAUGGGGGCGAGGUGGAGCUCAACGAUGAUGGCCAUGGAUCCUGUAGCUGCAAAAAAACAAAGAGAGGGAGAGCUCUGAGAGAGACAGAAACGAGAGCAGGGAGGAGGAAGAGAGAGAGUGGAGCGGGGGACCUGCUGGCAGAGCGGGUCGACCACGGCGUCCUACCAUCGCAAGGAGGCGGCGAGGAGCAGGAUCCGCCCUGGCUAGACUUGGCGGUGGCGGCUAAGGGACUCCCCACGCGGGAGUGCCCCUCAAAUCGAAAGUGAGGGCAUCGGGCUCCAUGACAUCUUCGACAGCGGCAGGAGAGAUGGACGAGGGGGCUAGAGGCGUGUUGGUCACCGGGGCUGCUCGCCGGCAAAAUAGGGGUCGAGGACGUGCAGGGCUUCGGGCGUUGACUCCAGUGAGGAUGUAGGGCUGCGGAUGAUUGGAUCGGGGGGUCCCGAGUUGGCUCCGAGGGGAUUGGGUGUGCACGCACAACAUGGCAGGUGGAGUGGCGGCGGCGCACAC
rnacentral:lncRNA from 1 species